GAUGAACGCUAGCGGCAGGCUUAAUACAUGCAAGUCGAGGGGCAGCACAGAUAGCAAUAUUGGGUGGCGACCGGCAAACGGGUGCGGAACACGUACACAACCUUCCCUUUGGUGGGGGAUAGCCUUUGGAAACGGAGAUUAAUACCCCAUAAGAUAUUGUGACCGCAUGGUUAUGAUAUUAAAGAUUUAUUGCCAGAAGAUGGGUGUGCGUAUGAUUAGGUAGUUGGUGAGGUAAAGGCUCACCAAGCCGACGAUCAUUAACUGGUGUGAGAGCACGACCAGUCACACGGGCACUGAGACACGGGCCCGACUCGUACGGGGGGCAGCAGUAAGGAAUAUUGGUCAAUGGACGGAAGUCUGAACCAGCCAUGCCGCGUGGAGGAUGAAGGUCCUCUGGAUUGUAAGCUUCUUUUAUAUGGGGCGAAAAAGGGCCAUUCUUGGUCAACUGACGGUACCAUAUGAAUAAGCACCGGCUAACUCCGUGCCAGCCGCCGCAGUAAAAC
rnacentral:rRNA from 1 species